UAUCAAUAAGCGGAGGAAAAGAAACCAACAGGGAUUGCCCCAGUAACGGCGAGUGAAGCGGCAACAGCUCAAAUUUGAAAUCUGGCCCCCCCCCCGGGGGGGCCCGAGUUGUAAUUUGCAGAGGAUGCUUCUGGCGAGGUGCCUUCCGAGUUCCCUGGAACGGGACGCCGCAGAGGGUGAGAGCCCCGUCUGGUCGGACAACCGAGCCUCUGUGAAGCUCCUUCGACGAGUCGAGUAGUUUGGGAAUGCUGCUCUAAAUGGGAGGUAUAUGUCUUCUAAAGCUAAAUACCGGCCAGAGACCGAUAGCGCACAAGUAGAGUGAUCGAAAGAUGAAAAGCACUUUGAAAAGAGGGUUAAACAGUACGUGAAAUUGUUGAAAGGGAAGCGCUCAUGACCAGACCUGGUCCCGGCGAAUCACCCGGCGUUCUCGCCGGUGCACUUCGACGGGCUUCCAGGCCAGCAUCAGUCCGCGCCGGGGGACAAAGGCGGCGGGAACGUGGCUCCCCAGGGAGUGUUAUAGCCCGCCGCGCAAUGCCCCGGGGGCGGACUGAGGCCCGCGCUCACGCAAGGAUGCUGGCGUAAUGGUCAUCAGCGACCCGUCUUGAAACACGGACCAAGGAGUCGUCCUCGUAUGCGAGUGUUGGGGCGUCAAACCCCCCGCGCGAAUGAAAGUGAACGGCAGGUGAGAGCCCUCGCGGGCGCAUCAUCGACCGAUCCUGAUGUUCUCGGAUGGAUUUGAGUAGGAGCAUACGGGGCCGGACCCGAAAGAAGGUGAACUAUGCCUGUGUAGGGUGAAGCCAGAGGAAACUCUGGUGGAGGCUCGCAGCGGUUCUGACGUGCAAAUCGAUCGUCAAACAUGGGCAUGGGGGCGAAAGACUAAUCGAACCUUCUAGUAGCUGGUUUC
rnacentral:rRNA from 1 species